UGAAGCAAUUACUUAAAGGUAAAAUUUAUAAUAUUGUAUAACAAUUCAUACAUAAGCUCUCAAUGUAAUGAAAAAAUUUCAAAAAUAAAAGAUUUCUAUAAUAUCCAAAUACAAGAAUCUUUUUAACAACAAUCCCCUAACUAAGUGGCUUCGCCGCUUUCAUCCACUCUUUACUCAUUCGAUCCACCACCUAUAAAAGAUAAAAACAAAUGAUUUAGUAUAAAUUUCAAAAAGAAUAUAAUCUCCUGUAUUUAAUAACGGUCUGAGUAACAAGAACAUCAACUCAAAGCAAUCAAUAAAGCUUCCCCAAUUCAAAUUUGAAGCAGUCCAAAGAUUGAACUGGAGGUUUCACAUUUGGCCGUUUAAAUAAGAGAUCAUUCCUUGCAAAUCUAUCCCCGUAUAACCCAAUAACUACUAUAAAGAUAUAAUUUGAACCAAAUUUUGCCGAAAUCAAGCACUAAUUAAUUUUUGAAAUUAUAUUUCACUAAUCAUAUCCUAAACUACUCAUCACCAGCUCUCUUCAGUCAUAACCUAAUAAACAAUAAUCUAGUGUUAUUGUAGGAAACAAAAUAACCAACCAAGGAAUAAGUGCAAUCUAUUUGCACAACCAAGACAAAGUAACUAAUACUGAAAGAUCAAACCAAAUAGACAAAUCUUUCGGAUAAAGUUCAAUAUCACUAACUGAAUUAGCUGAAUGGAUAUUUGAAUCAUACAAAUUCAAGUUUCUCCAAGCCAUGUUCUUCCUCCCUAAUGUCCAAUUUCACACAAAGAAUUCAAAGCUUCAUGUUAUUUCAUUUCCGUCAAGCCAAAUGUUCUAUUCUCAAAUAAAAAGUUUUAGCAAGCUUAAAGUUCUUCAAAUCUACAUUUGUUCUUUUCCCCAAACUAGAUUUCAUAUGCAACAUAUCUAACAUACUCGUAGAAGUGAGGGCAACUUUAAGGGAGUACACACUUCUCUUUUCCUUGAAAAGAAAAAAAAAAGAUACCACACAUAGUCUCAGUUCCAAAUCAGUUCCGAAAAUUCUCUCUCUAGAAUUUUUCUCUCAAAAUUCCGCCGUCACUGUGGCUGCUAUAGUGCCGUGAACAGUGGAUGCGAGCUACUGUUCAUCGCGGAAAACUGAAGCUUUAAGCUUCAAAUGGCCACAAUGGCCGGCGGCCAGCCAUCUUUGUCGGCUGGUCAGCCCUUCCCCAGCAUCGCACAACAACAUACAACAACAAACUCCAAUCCAACCCCCCUAGAUUUCUCAAAGAUUUUGAAACCAUAUACGUUAAAUCCUCCAGCGAUGGCUACUGUUGUAAAUUCAGUGCAGCCCAUUCCGAUGCGAUGAGCUACUUUCUUGAAUGGUCAACUAGUUAUUAGAUUCACAGUGGCGGAAGUCGAACGGAUGAAUGUUAUUGAGGGUAUUCAAUAUGCCGUCGUCGGAAAACUCUCAUAUGGAUCUCCGAAGAUUCAUGAACUUCGCUGAAUCAUACCAACACAGUGUGGCAUCAAAGGAGAGUGCAAUAUCAAAUUUCUUAGAGAUCGUCAUGUGUUAAUUAGAUUAACUCUAUGGCAAGACUUAGUUGAUUUCACAUCAAAGAGUACAUACUACAUCAAAGCCAAAGAUGGGUACGAAUACCAGUUGCGAACUCUUAUUUACGAUGCAAAUUUUAAGGCGGGUGAAGAAACUCCGAUGGCGAUGGCGUGGAUUUCUUUUCCUGGACUGCUGCCUACUUUUUAUGUAAAGGAAACUCUGUUUUCCUUAGCUACAGCUGUGGGGAGGCCCCUGUGUCUUGACGCGGUGACGAUAAACAAAACUAGGCCGAGUUACACGAGAGUAAAAGUUCUAGUUGAUUUAUUGGCCGAGCUACCUAAGAGGAUACGUCUGGACAUCAAUGAUGAAGUUACUGGAGGGGUAAGAACAGAGUGGGUAAAGGUUCACUAUGACAUGUUGCCAAAAUACUAUAAGGAGUGUAAGCUUCAAGGCCACAAUGAAAUCGAAUGUUGGCGAUUGAACCCCGACCUAGUCGAAAGUCGAAGCAAUGACAAGAGAGCUGCUUCUGAUACAUUUCAUGAUGUCACAGCUGCAGUGGAAGACCAGGGGAAAACAAAAAAAUAUACUGCCACUUUAAUGAUUCUCACGAGCGGAAAAGUUGUUGGGAAUGUGACUAAAACUGGGCAAGAAAUCGUGCCAGUGAGAAGACUACUCAAUAGGUGCAAACAGCUAAUAAAUUUGCAAUCAUGGAGAUGGAUAACAGCGAAGAUAAUGAGAAGAAUCAUAUUGUUGUGGUAGAGGAAAUUUCUCAGCAAAAUGGAAUUCAUAAUCCUAAGGAAAAUGGGAUUAGAAAUCCUGCAGCACCGACCAAUGUGGCUGGUAAUGGCAAGGAACUAUGGAAAGAAGUUAGUGAUAACCAUGGCAAGAAUAUUGUUAAUCAGAAGGAAACUCAUAGAACUAAUGGAAAAGAAAUUAUCUCAGUUAAUCAAGGUGAAGAGUAACAGGUGCAAGUGGGAAAUAAAUUCGCAAUAUUGGAAGUUGAGGAAGUUGGGAAUGACGAUGCCAAUUGUGAUGCAGAAGCAGAUUCAAAAACCUUUUCCUAAAACUGUUGGAAAUCUAAAUCCAGCAGCUCCAGUGUUUAAUCCUAACUAAGAUGGGAUUUGAUCAACUAAUAGUCGUAAGGAUACUACUCCAAGUGAGAAUGAAAAGGUGACAGCUGCAGCAAAGGAAUCAACUGCUCAUUAGGUCCAAAGAGCUUUCAAAUACAAUGCAGUGGGAAUUAACACAUCAUGACAGGACAUACCAGCACAAGACACCUUGGUGGAUAAGGAAUUGGCCAAAACUCCCGACAAUCGAACUGGGGGAACUAAGUUUCCUAAAGGGAAUGACAGAGUUCAAUGGAGUGGAGGAGGGUUAUGGUCUAACCAAAUAGAGGAGGUUUCAGAUGAAGGUGAAGCUCCAGAUGGAGCACCAGUUGAUGAUAAACCAGUUGACGAUGAUCAAGAGGGAGAAGAGCAAAGUGUAAAUGGUGAUCCCAUUGUUACAGCUAACAACAAUACCGAUGUUAAUGAGGAGUCAAAUAUUCAGGAAGCAGGCAAGGACAAGCAGAUUGCAACAAAGGGUAAUGGAAUUGAUAUGGAGAAGUUUGCAGGAAGAGGAUCUGAUGGUGUAGAUCCAGGUGGAACAGGGGAGAUUGCAAUAUCUAAGAAAAGUGUAGUUUCUAACUUAAAGGUACUUACAAAUACUGGGAAUGAGCAACUGCCUACUGCACAAGCUGCAAAUGCACCUAGUACUGCUCCAUUGGAAACCACACAACUGAAGCUGUAGAAGAAAGGAGAGGAUCAAUCUAUGGUACCUAAACCUCACAAUAUAAAUGUUAUAACUCCACUAGGGGGUAAGGAUGCCAAUGAUGUAGAUGAGGAAAUUAACAGAAUAGGCAAGGAUAUGGAUCAAGAGUCUACUGCCCAGAAUUUUCAAAAUGUAGCAAGGCAAGGUGACCUAUCACCUAGGCAUAUGGAAAAGGCUAAAUCAGCAGCAAAAGGAAGGAAAAAGCAGCAGAAAGAUAACAACAUUGUGCACACAAGUGGUGUACAAACAAGGAGGACUCUGACCAAAUCAAACAAUCAGUAAUGGAUGCUCUUAUUUGGAACAUAAGGUCAGUUAAUACACAACAAGCCUUUGAGAGGCUGAUCAAAAUGCAUAGGAAGAAUCAUUAUGAAUUUAUAGGAUUAAUGGAGCCAAUGCAACAGGCUAAAAAACUGGAAAGGUAUAGAAGAAAAAUUGGAUUUGCACAGGCAAUUGCAAAUGUGUCAAACAAGAUUUGGGCUUUUAUAGAUGAGAUAUUUGAUGUUACUAUUAUGUAUAACAUGGUGCAGGAACUGACACUAAGGCUCGUUCAUUCUGAAACACAUGUAGAAUUGGUUCUUCCUUUGGUAUAUGGUAAAUGUGAUGCCAUCGAAAGAAUAGAGAUAUGGGACUCAAUGUAUGCAAUGGCAAGGGACAUGGCAGUGCCAUGGCUUGUAGGUGGAUUCUUUAAUAUUAUUUGGGAUGAAGAAGAAAAGUAUGGUGGUUUGCCAGUGUCAUUGAAUGAAACUAAUGACUUUCGACACUGCAUCAACACUUGCAACUUAUUUGAUCUUGGCUUCAAAGGUAGUAUUUUCACUUGGUGGAAUGGGAGGGCAGGAGAAGACUGUAUUUUCAAGAGGUUAGAUAGAUGUCUAGCAAAUGUUGAAUUUCAGUAUACCUUCCCAGGAAUUGAAGUUACACAUUUGUCAAAGAUAGGCUCAGACCACAGCCCUAAACUAAAGUGUGAUAUAGAGGUUCCUCCAGUGAAGAAACCUUUUAGAUUUCUUAAUUUCUGGGUUGAGCAUGAGUCAUUUAAGGAUACUGUAGAGAGAACUAGAAGGCAGAUUUUAGUGCAAGCCCAUUUGUCAUGUUUAAUUAUAAGCUGAAGAAAUUAAAAAAAGGCACUGUCAGUGUGGAGUAGAGCAACCUAUUGUGACAUUUUUCAGAAGAUUGCAAGAUUGGAGGAGGUAGUAUUGGUUCAUGAAGCAUAGUUUGAAACUAAUCCUACCAAACUGAACAGAGAAAGAUUGCACAAAGUACAAGCAGAGUUGAUCAGAUUUCUUGCCUUGGAGGAAAAAUAUUGGAAGCAGAAAUCAGGUAUGGCUUGGUUCAAAGAUGGUGAUAGGAACACAAAAAUUUUUCAUACUCAAGUCAAGGGUCGAAGGAAGAGGCUACAUCUCAAAAGGAUUCAAAACAGUCAAGGUAUGUGGAUAGAAAAAGAUGAAGAGAUUGUUAUGGAAGCAGUUAAACUUUUAUAAAGAACAGUUCAAAGAAACCACAGUGCCAACUUCAUUUCACAUUUUAGAUCGAGUGCCAACACUGGCUGAUAUGGAGCAGAACUCAGAACUAAUGAAGCAACCAACAAAAGAUGAGGUAAAAAAUGCAGUGUUUGGUUUGAAUGGAGAUAGUGAAGGGGGACCAGAUAGAUACACAGGCAAAUUUUAUCACUCAUGUUGGGACAUAAUAAGGGAUGAUGUAUUUGACAUGGUGAGAGAAUUUUUCAAUGGCCAUGAAUUGCCAAAAUGUGUGACUCACACUAACUUGGUCCUACUCCCAAAGAAAAAAGAGGUGACUAUAUUUUUUGAUUUGAGGCCAAUAAGUCUUAGCAACUUUACCAACAAACUGAUAUCGAGGGGUGAUACAUGAGAGGAUAGCGGGACUACUUCCUAAUAUUAUAUCUGAAGAAUAGGCUGGCUUUGUGAAAGGGAGGAGCAUUAUUGAAAAUGUAUUGCUCACGCAAGAGAAAAUUACAGAUAUAAGACUUAGAACUAAAGCUGGACCAAAUGUUGUUAUGAGGCUUGAUAUGACUAAGGCAUACGACAAGUUAUCUUGGCUUUUUCUUACUAAGGUGCUUAGGAAGAUGGGCUUUGCAGAGAGAUUCAUUGGCAUGGUUUUUGGCAUUGUCUCAAAUAACUGGUAUUUUGUUCUUAUCAAUGGCCAGGCUCAUGGUUUUUUCAAAUCAUCGAGAGGAGUCAAACAAGGAGAUCCAUUGUCGCCUACAUUAUUUAUCCUAGCUGCUAAAGCACUGUCGAGGGGGUUAAAUGCUCUACAUUUGAACCUAUACUUUUGUGGCUUUGGCCUACCUAAAUGGAGUCCUAAAAUAAAUCAUCUAGCCUUCGCAGAUGACACUAUUAUCUUCUCUUCAUCUGAUGCUACUUCACUUCGAUUAAUUAUGGAAGUGUUAGGAGAAUAUGGGGCUGCAUCUAGGCAGCUUGUGAAUAAGAGCAAGUCAGCUGUUUAUAUGCAUCACUUAACAGAUGUAGAGGUAGCAAAUAAAAUAGAAAGGGUCACUGGUUUCAAAAGGGAAGAAUUUCCAUUCAUGUACCUAGGUUGUCCCAUGUUUUACGCGAGAAGAAAGAUGGAUCAUUAUCAAAGUUUGAUCACUAAAGUACUGAACAAAUUACAAUCAUGGAAGGGGAAGUUGCUUUCUAUAGGUGGCAGAGCAGUCUUUAUUGCUCAUGUACUGCAAAGUAUGCCCAUACACCUGCUUUCAACAGUCAAUCCUCCCAACUAUGUUAUAAACAAGCUGCACAAAAUACUUGCACAAUUCUUCUGGUGCAAUUCAGUAAGAGGCAGCAGCAGGCAUUGGGCAUCUUGGAACACAUUAUGUAUGCCAUAUGCUGAAGGUGGUAUUGGCUUCAAAUCUUUGCAUGAUGUAUCUAUGGCACUGUUCUGUAAAUUAUGGUGGAACUAUAGAACCAAGCCAAGUUUGUGGAGCUCUUUUAUGAGCCAUAAAUAUUGUAAAAAAAUGAACUCAAUGAUUGUUCCAUGGAGGGGAUUGGUCUCAUGUAUGGAGGAAGAUGUUAGAGUGUAGGGAUUUAACCGAGCACCAAAUAAAAUGGCAUCCAAAGAUGGGGUCGUCACUCUUUUGGUAUGAUAACUGGACAGAUCUAGGGGCUUUGUACUUCAUUGUUCCACAAGAUUUUGGGAUUGAUGAGUCCAUUCAUAAUGUAUGGGAUGUGGUUGAAGAAGGUGGUUGUAAUGUGGAUAGAUUGCUGGAGGUUUUACCUGAGGAGUAUGCUAUGCAUAUUGUAGAAAACAUCAAGCCACCUCAUGUAAAUGAGGUACUUGAUGUGCCUUAUUGGAUGUUGGAACCUCGAGGCUAUUUUAGUGUUAGAUCUGCAUGGGAGUAUGUGAGAAAGAAGAGAUGAACCAAGGGUAGCUUACAAGAUUAUUUGGGUAAAGGGGCUACCAUUCAAAAUUGCAUUCUUCAUGUGGAAAGUUUGGAAGGCAAACUGCCUCUAGAUGACUUCAUGAAGAGGUUGGGUUACCUUAUGCCCUCAAAAUGCUGGUGUUGCACACAACCUAAGGAAGAGAAUCUACAACAUUUAUUUUUCAACGUAGAGACUGCUAGAGAUGUAUGGAGAUAUUUCCUCUCGAGGGCAGGUAUUGAUGUACAAGGAAUGACAAUGGAUCAUGCUAUCACCAAAUGUUGGACUGCCAAAGUGUGUGAUAGACUCAAACCAAUUAUGCAGGCUUUGCCUUCCUGUGUAGUAUGGGAAUUAUGGAAGAGAUGGAAUAGCAUAAAAUAUGGUGAUGCUGUCUCAACUAGUCGUGUGAUAUAUCAAGUUUCAUCGACUCUUCAAGGACUUGUGAAAGUAAGGAAACCAGGAGUGCAUAAUGUCUCUCACAAAUGGCAUGAACUAUUAGCAAUGAUGGAGAACUAUACAUCUAGAUUAAAGGUUAGCAAAGUAGUUUGGGAAUUACCAGGAGAAGGCUGGAUUAAAGUGAACACAGAUGGUGCCUCGAGGGGGAAACUUGGCAGGAGUGCAAUUGGAUAUUGUGUAAGGGAUGAAUAUGGAGACAUUGUGUUUGCAGCAGGGAAGGAAAUAAAUGAAAUAACAAACACUGAAGCAGAGGCAGAGGCUAUUGUAGAAGCACUGAAAUUCUGCAGAAUGCAGCAGUACUCCCAAGUGUGUGUCCAAACUGACUCGAUGCUUAUGAAGAAAAUUAUGGAGGGAUCGUGGAAGCCACCUUGGAGUAUAGCAGACCAGAUUGAGGAAAUUAUGUAGAUAUUGAAUGGAGGAAAUUAUGUGGUGUCACACAUUUUUAGAGAAGAGAACAAAUUGGCUGAUCAUCUUGCCAAUUAUGCACUAGAUCAUGGGAAUAUUGAAUGUCAAGAAUUUUUGCAAUUAGAUACCCAAGGGAGGAGAAUAGUGAAUGAAGACGAGUUACAAUGUCCAUACUUGAGGGUAAAGGUUGCCAAGAACUAAGGAGCAAGGAGAUAAAGAAGUGCAUGGGACAUGAGCGUGCAUUGGACCAAUAUGUUCGAAUUCCUAGGGAGGAGAACAUGUUGAGAUCAAUUUUCACUAACUUUGUUUUCUUUUUUUGCAGGAAAAAUUACUGUUCUCAUGCCUUAUCAUAUUAUACGAUUUCAUUGGGUGGUAUUAGUACCUAGUGCUCAUUCCCUUGAAGGAAUUAUUAUGGUAAGCACAAACAUGAAGUUCAAAGUACCACACAUGUGGUUCAUAGACAUCAGAAGACUCAAUAACUUCAUGCACUAAAGGUCAUUAAGUCACAAAGAUGGUACAACUAUUAGAGAGAAUCAAGGCAGAGUUCAUCAUGACACACACAACAGGAAUACACCAAGGUUGGAACGCAGGAGUAUGCUGCCAAGAAAUAUGCAGCAUUUGUUGCUGAAAAUGGAACCAAAGGGAAUACUAUGGAACAGUUCAAUACAGUACAUGGCAUCAGCAGUUCAAACAGGGAGCUAGACAAAAUUACGCAGGAAUUGUCACAUAUGUUUCACUGCAGAGAAGUUGGAAUAUGUUGGAGAUCAAACAAACAAUCACCGUGAUCAAACUUUUAGGGGGAGAACAUGGUGAUAAAAGUUUUCGCUAACGUUGUGUUCUUUCUUGCAGGAAUCGUUACUUUGGCCAUGCACUAUUCUUUGAACAAACCCUAGUUGGUGGUAUUAGUACUAAGUACUCAUUCCACUGGGGGGGGGGGGGGGGGCAAAGGUAGGCAUAAGCAUGACAUUGAAUAUUCAAAGGAAUGUGCAAGGUGAUCUUGGUAAUUUGACGAUUUUGAGGCACGGCAAUCUCCAUGCUCUUCACAAGCCAAUGAAUGGAAUCACCAUCGCAAACAGUGAUCCUAAACAAGUUGAUAAGGGCAGGAACAAAAGAAAAUAUUCAACACUAUCCAGUCUGUUGUGGCCGAGACAGUGUAGAUUGAGUUAUUAUGCAGGUCAUAUGAUUUGGAUUUCCAAGGACCCCUAUAGAAAAACACCAUCUCUGAUAUGAAAGGAAGAUGGGACAAGAGAGGACACACACAUGAGGGCAUCAACUGUAAUGAAAAUCUGGGCAAAAGGUAGCAUAGGAACAACACUACUAAGAUAGUGCAUGCUCACACAUGCUCCUAAGUGCUGGACGUUACUGGUAAGUAUACAGCACUUAGUUCAUCUCGUGAUCAGUGGGAAGGAAAACAGCAACUAUGGAAAAUAACACAAACCAACUGGAAAAACUGCCGAGGUUGUGUGUCUACGCUACAACGUUAUGCACAUUUUUUGGAUGUAACUCUGGAUCUUAUGAAUGCAUAUGGGACCCAAAUUAAAAUGGAGUUCAUUCACGUAAUAGCUAAACACAAGGUACACAGAGGUAGGGCAAUAAUUAUCACUAUAGGGCCUCAUGAAUAUGGGGGUAACAACGUCUUGCUCAAACAUCACUGGACAGAAGAGCCACUGUCUCGUGCAGGUGGCAGUGGCAUUUCCAGCAAUGCAUACGAGGAAAUGAUGAUGCCACAACCAAACAACAAGUACGUACCAAUUGAAAUGCUGAAGAAUGGGCCAUGUUAAAUUGAAAUGCUGCAAAUUGACAAUGGCUAUGUACAAAGUAGUGGAACGCUACUAAUGGACUUCAUGAUUGAUGGCCUACCUUGGCUAGUUAUUAAACUACAUUUUCUUCUUGUACUUAGCAUACAACAUGUACUAUCGUCAUCGAGCAUUAAGAUCGAUUCCGAUAAUAUGGGCUAUGUAAUUGUCAAUUUUUAUUUCUUCCAUUUUGUAACGCAUCACGGAUUUUGUUUUUUUUGCUUUUGUUGAUAUAUAUAAAAAUUAGCCCUAGGCACUAUGCCUAGCGGAUUUCCAAAAAAAAAAAAAACAAAGAUGCAAUAUGAAACCCUAAUUUCAAGACACGGAGACAAACUUGAAGGUCGAAAAUUGAUUUGUUUUAUAAAACAAGAAGACAAAAAUUCGAAAUCCUAACUCACGAGACAUACAUAAACGAUCUUUUCAACAUCGAAUAAUUCUUUAUAGAAUAAGAAAUUAGAAAUACCUGAAAAGGGUAGAAGAACUGGGUUCUCUUCCCUUGGGUUUGACUAGCUGAGGAAUAAGGUUGAAGAAGAAGUUAAGGGUAGAGCUCCAAAUAUUAGAGUUUAGGGAUCCGUUCGUCAUUAUUCAAGAAAGCUUUAACCAUCUUACUGGAGCGCUUCCUGACUCUAUUCUGCCAGAAAUUAUUCAGAUUUAUAAGAGACUUGUGUGCUCGAAGCAAGGAAUGUUAUUGAGAAAUUUAAGGGUUAAUAUUCAUAGCUUAGAUAUGUUUGAAGCAACAGAGCUAUAGCUUCGAUGUGUUCGAAGUAUAUGCCACUUUGUUUAGUGUUUUAGCAAAACAAAAAAUAAUAAUAAACAAUUACUAUAAUUAUAGCCACUUAAAAGGAGAUCAUGCUUUUGGGAAAUAAGAGGGAAUUGAAAACCAUCUCAGUAGAAUUUGUUUCUCGGAAAACCAUUACUACAGAUGUACUUAUUGCAACGACUAAUAGAAAUCAUUGUAAUAAGAACCUCUAUAGCAACAAUUCUCCAACUAACGUAAUAGUUUAGCUGCAUAAGUGUCUUAUUAGGAUCAAGAUUCGUUGCAAUAUACCAGCUAUUGCAAUGGUUAUACAACCGUUGCAAGAAAAAGCUU
rnacentral:lncRNA from 1 species